UAGGGAAUCUUCCACAAUGGGCGAAAGCCUGAUGGAGCAACGCCGCGUGUGUGAUGAAGGGUUUCGGCUCGUAAAACACUGUUGUAAGAGAAGAAUGACAUUGAGAGUAACUGUUCAAUGUGUGACGGUAUCUUACCAGAAAGGGAACGGCUAAAUACGUGCCAG
rnacentral:rRNA from 1 species